CGAGGGAAGCAAUGAUAGCUGGGACGGAAGGCAAAUUUAGGUCCUUUGUAUUUUGGCCAUUCCCCGGAUAGGUUGUAGGUAUCUGGUUCAUCUGAGAAUACGAAAUGAAGAUCGCAAUACUACUUCUCGUGGUUUUCCUUGCCUGCGCGGAGUGUGGCUUCAUUACCCCAAUGAUAACACGGAUAGCCAAUGGAGUCUGGAGCCUCAUGAAAAAGGACAUGGAAAAGCAGGCCGUCACUCUCAUCUAUGAAGGCGUCAUCAAAGAAGGCAUGAAGGAAGCCAUUGCAAAGGGCGUACCGGUUGUCAAGCAAAUUGGCACAGCGAUCGUCAUUGACAUCGAUAACAAACUCAAAAGUGGAGAACUUCAGCCAGAAAAUAUAUCGGACUAUCUGAGGAUGACCAUGAACAACUUUAACAGAAAAUAAAGCAUUGACCCCACGCCAUCUCCGUACAUGUAUACGUUUAACAAUGCAAAGAAUAUACUCGGCUUCUGAUGAGGUAGAAACGCUACCUGCGAUUUUGCUUGACUGGUUUACGAUCGUCUCGUAAGACUUCUUCCUCGCUUCUCUGCUUAAAUUUCAACAUUGGCUAUAAUGUUCUCAAUUUUGUCGCAGUGACAGUUUACAUUAAAGAAGAGAUUUCGUUGAA